GACGUAGGGCGCGAGCGUUGUCCGGAUUUAUUGGGCGUAAAGAGCUCGUAGGCGGCUUGUCGCGUCGACUGUGAAAACCCGCGGCUCAACUGCGGGCCUGCAGCCGAUACGGGCAGGCUAGAGUUCGGUAGGGGAGACUGGAAUUCCUGGUGUAGCGGUGAAAUGCGCAGAUAUCAGGAGGAACACCGGUGGCGAAGGCGGGUAGCUGGGCCAACACUGACGCUGAUGUGCGAAAGCUAGGGGAGCAAACGGG
rnacentral:rRNA from 1 species